UACAGAGGGUGCUAGCGUUGUCCGGAAUCACUGGGCGUAAAGGGCGCGUAGGCGGCCCGGUAAGUAGGGGGUGAAAUCUCACGGCUCAACUGUGAGGCUGCCUUCUAGACUGCCAGGCUCGAGCACAGUAGAGGCUGGUGGAAUUCCCGGUGUAGCGGUGGAAUGCGUAGAGAUCGGGAAGAACAUCUGUGGCGAAGGCGGCCAGCUGGGCUGUUGCUGACGCUGAUGCGCGACAGCGUGGGGAGCAAACAGG
rnacentral:rRNA from 1 species